ACAAUCGGUGAAAAAAAUAUUUCACGAGAUUCAACUCACAAAUUGUCUGAUUGCUUAGCAACGAAGUACGAUUUACUUACACUCACCUUUAACUUACUGAGAUCUCGAGAAAUUUGUUUGCCGAAUACUCGGCUGUGCAAAUCUGGGUUAAAAUAUGUCGAGACUUGGCAUUCUAAAUUAAGUGUGUACGGUAUUCUUUACCAUACAAUACAAUAUUCUACCUAAAUUGCCUUCCCAGUACCUUUUCCAUUCAUAUUGAAGCUAUACUGCCCAUAAACGCAUAAUUGCCCCAUAUGAAUAGGAAAUCCAGCAAACAUGGGACUGACAUGCGUUUAUGGGCAGUAUAGACCCACGCGACCGAGGGGGUCCGCGGAGCACGCUGAAACGUACACCUCACAGCGAGCCGCUGUUUCCAAAGUUGCUAUAGACCUAUAGGUACCAUGAAUGCAUUCGGCCUUUUGAAAUAUGUGGGUAGUUUCUAAGUUUUGAUGGGUAUAUAUGAAACUUUAAUAUAAAUGAAAGGCGAUUGGCAGUCAUAAGUGAAAAACUAUUUUAUCAUUUUACAAUUUAAUUCCGCUAUUUUUUCAAAAUGACUUUCGUACAUUUCAUGAAACCAAACCCUCAAUGGUUCACGGUAUCCAGUGAAAAGAUUGAAUCUAUUAACAAUUAUAGAAAAUUAACAUUGGAGGUUAAGUUCAAUAAGUUGUUUCAAAAUGUUCCGGAUUCUGCUGAGUUGGCGUUCGUAGAAUGCCUUGGUCGUUUCUACGCUCUCGGAGAGCUGGUCUGCUACGUUCAUGCAUCUUUGCUGCCGCAUCCCACCGACCAAUUGCAGAUUGACUACCUUUCAAGGAAACCCAACAAACGUUGCAGCACCGGAUUAGUUCAGGCGAACAUGUUAACUCGAAACUUACUCGUACAGUGUGUCAAUGAAAUUCAAGACUCAGCGAAACUGUUUCGCGGUUGUCAAUUCCGGAUCACUGUCUAUCAUCUGCGGAAAAGAGUCCCAUUCGAAGCAGUUCAUUCCUGCAACUCAUUGACUGCCAAGCGAAGAGUCAAGUCUCUUGUCAAUAAGCAGUCCAAAAAAUGAAAUGUGUUCCUCGUAAGAAUUUAUUCAUAGAUAAUAUAUUUUGAUCAAAGUUUGUCAGUACAUAUUCAUGGUCAGGUGAUAUUCAUAGUCGUACAAUCAUUGUAAAUUUGUGCUUUAAGAAGUAAUAAAUAAAUCGAUCUAAUUUUCCAAAAAUA